UUUUUUUUUUUUUUGAAAACUACCCUAAUUUCCAAGAGGUGAGAUGUUUCUCUACAUUUCUCAGCAUUUCCCCAGAGCAGAGCAGUCAGAAAAAAACAAUGUAGGAAGCCUCUAGGCUAUGUAUUAUUCUGAAUUACAAGCACAGUUUAAAGGUCUUUUCUGAAGAGCCUAAGAAGAAGCCAUUUUAAACUGGUAAUUAGAAGAUUAUCUGCAUACCAGUAUUUUUUAAAUUAAUUUUAAGCCCUGGGGGGUUUUGAAUGGUUGAAUAGCCCCACUACUGAACCUUUUUUUUUUUUAAUGCUUUGGUUAUUAGAUAAUUAUUUAAAUUAAAAAGACAUUAGAGGGAGUUCCCACUGUGGCUCAGUGGUAAUGAACCUGACUAGUAUCCAUGAGGAUGGAGGUUUGAUCCCUGGCCUUGCUCAGUGAGUUAAGAUCUGGCAUCGCCACGAGCUGUGGUGUAGGUCACAAAUGUGGCUCGGAUCCUGCAUUGCUAUUGCUAUGGCAUACGCUAGAGCUGCAGCUCUGAUUUGACCCCUAGCCUGGGAACUUCCAUAUGCCUCAGGUGCAGCCCUACAAAGCAACAGUAACAACAACAAAGGACGAUGGAGAGCGCCUCUGAUCAGACCUAUACUAGUUUCCUGUUUGUUUCUCAGCCUCUAAAUUUACUUGUUUAGGUUGGCUUUCCUCAAGUCAAAAAUGGCCCUUUCAUGGAAAAUACAGAUCAAGUCUACACGCCUCCUUAGAAGUCCAGCCACUGAUUCUCAUUCCUAAACCAUGAGAUAUCUGCAGAAGUCACUACCAAAAGCGUUAACCCCAUUGGUUUAUUUAAUAAGGGUUUAUUCAUUUCCAAGAUACAUAUUAUACUGAGAAUGCUUACAUUAAACUUAAUGCCUUACAAAAUAGGCUUUGAAUAUUAAAAACACUGGAUUGAAAUUAAAGACAUGGCACCUUGAUUUUCAAUCCCUUUUUUAUCAUCAAUGAGUUGCAUAGUUUUGAACACACCAAGCCCUCCUCCCAGAUUUCAGCCCCUGCACUUCAAUAUCACCAGAUAGUUAUUUCUAAAAAAAGUUAUAGAAUUCCAUAUUCUAUAAACAAACUAGGAAAUAGAACACUUUACGCUUUUUAAAAAUAAGUGCCAGAAUUCUAUCUCCAUUCUGAAAAUAUUUGUUCUGGCCCACUCAUUCACUUAACUCGUGUGCUCUUCCAUUGAUAGAGAAGAAAUAUUUGGAACUUUAAACAAAAGUCAAGAAAAAAAACUCUUCCACUGUGUUUCACAUUAGUUCACUGUUAUUUGGCUUAGGCUGUUGGAUUACAGUUUUAGAUAAAGAAGGCUGUGCUUACUGGAUGCUUUCCACACUGGCUGGGCUCUCUUCAAUGGAUUCAGACCAAUCGCCUCAGGCCAAGCAAAACAUCCUGCCCUUAUUCCCAAGGACUUCCUGAAUAAGAGUGGUGGGUUAUACAAAUUAAUUUUUAUCCUCACCUACUGUUACAGUAAAAACAAAUUUUCUUAUAAAGGACAACCUAUGCAUUUCACAUAAUUAACAUUUCAGAUCUAGGUAUCCAGAAGGUGAAUUCACACCCUCCUGCUGCUGUAUCCUUGAAAAAUGUUGUUGAAUGCCUAAGGUAAAAAAACAAAAUCACCCUCAGAUGAAACUUGAGAGGGAUGACAUGAUAAUUAAUACUGAGUGGGUACUGGGUGCAUAUGUCUAACCACUUUCCAUGUAUGAUAUCAUUUCAUCUUAACCAUUACUGUGAACACUAAUUUUAUGUGUCAACGUGAUGGGCUGAAGGAUUCCCAGGUGACUAGUAAAACAUUAUUUCUAUGUACAUCUGUGAAAGCAUCUCCAGAGGGAUUAGCAAUGCAACCACAGACUGAAUAAAGUUCACUUUCACCAAUGUGCGCAUCAUCCAACCCAAGCAGAACAAAAAGAUGGAGGAAGAGCAAAUCCGUCUCUCUGCUUGGGCUGAGACAUCGAUUUCCUCCUACUCUUGGACGUUGGCACCCCUGGUUCUCGGGCUUUUGGACUCAGAUCAGGACUUACGCCAUCACCUCCCUAACAUGCAGGCCUUUGGCUUUGGACUGAAUUAUACCACUGGCUUUUCUUGUUCUCCAGCUUGCACAAUGGCAGAUCUCAGAUCACAGGACUUCUCUGCCUCUAUAACCAUGUAAGCCAAUCUCUAUAAUAAAACUAUAUUAUACACACACACAAACACACAUCUCCUACUACUUAUGUUUCAAUGGAGAACUUCAACUAAUACAACAAUCCUGUGAAGUACAAUCAAUUAUUAUCUCCAGUUUAUGAAAGAAGAAACACAGGCAUUUAUAGGUUCAAUAAUAUGCCUUUGGUUACACAAUAAGUAUCACAAAAAUGCAAUGAUUCAAGUUCAGGUAGUUGAACUCCUUAAUCCUCAUUGUUGACCAGUAACUAUAAUAACAAAACAGCAAUAACAACUAACAUUACUAUUAACUAUUACUGCAUGUCUAUUACGUGGCAUUCACUAUGUGACCUUUUUUCUCACUUUCUCCUUACAAACUAAGGGUUAGUACUCCCAUUAUAAGAUUCCAAGAAGUAACUAAAUAGCCUGAUGUCACACAGCUUUUAAAUGAGAGAGCAUGAGACUAAGCCUAUGCUUUUAAAAUACUGCUUGCUACAUUUUACGAGAAUGUGAGAAGUCCCAUUUUCUUCAGUUGUGAUAAAACCAAAGGAAACUGAAUAAAUUUCCAGGUGGCUAAGAGCUAAUCAACCAACAGAGUAUGGAAAGGCUCAGCAUACACUAAUGCAGAGAAAAGAAAAGCUACAUCAUGACAUAAAUUAAGGAAUUUCAUAGUUGAGACAAAUUCACUACUGUCCUUAGAUAAGAGAAUGAGACUUUUCCAGCCACGUCUCUCUCCACAUGCCAAAAGAACUUUACCACCAAAAGCUUAUGUCCUCUCUUCUAGACCAAGUUUUAAUUAUUCAGGACUUCAGAACUGCUUGCCCAAAUGAUCUUGAGCCCUGGAUCUAAUCUCCCCAGGAUGCCACACCAAUAAUGUGCAAACCCAAAGAUGAGGCAGUAGUUUAAGGGGUGUAAAUGGAGCUUGGAUAUGCAAGCUGGGAUAUCUGCUCUUUGUGUAGAAAAGAACUGAAAAUGGAAAAGGGAAUAUCAAGCAACAGGCUGGAGUCUGGGCCCUUCUACCAUCAGCACAGAAUUAAAUAAAUCAAAGAACUUUAACCUUGAACCUGGCCUUCCAGGAUAAUAUGAAGUUCUGUUUGUCAAGAGAAAAGUAUAAAGAAAUAAUUUUAUCUAAAUGUUUGUGAAUCUUGUUUACAACUUCUAAAGACCUAUGUCCUUUAGAUCUCCAUUUGCACGCCUGCCCUGAGUCCCAACAUGCCAAGAGCAGGCCUGGGCCAGCUCACUUCUUUUUUAUUCUUUCCCCUCCCACCAGAGGCAAAUACACGGCUGUGAGCUCACUGUAAUAUCCAGUCGGUCAUGGUUAGCAAACUUACUCUCUGGCUUCACUGAGGACACCUUCUAGAGAGAUUUAUUAAAUUUCAGCUAAAGACGACUCCCUGUAAUCUCAGUCCUCAGUCUCUGCUGAGGGCAAAGGAGAAAACAGAUCACCUGGUGCUGUGUAGGAAUUGCCAUUUACAUAACACUCUGAUGUUUACUUCAUUGGAAACAGCUGUUUCAUCGAUUCAUUUCAAUGUUCAUUAGCUUGACACACAAGAUUAUGGUGUGCUGUCUACAUGAUGCCAGAACAACCAGAUGAUUUAAUCAAAUUCAAUCCAACAAGCAGACAAUUUACUUUGAAAGAGAAAUGAGUCCAUUUUGUUUGCCUGUUUUUUAAUUGUUUUUUAAAAAAACUAUCAAUUUCAUUAAAUCAACAGGGAAAUCAGUCAUCCCUACCCCCAUCCUCUCCACUCCAGCCAAUAUAAUUCAUGCAGCAAUUAAAUUAAAAAAAAAAAAAAGCAGUCCAGGCACAAAGUUGAGCUAUUAGUCAAUCAGUGUUGGUUCUAGAACUUAUCUCCAUCAAGCAUCUAAACUCAUAUCCCAUAAUGAUGAGACAUGUGCAUGGAAAUGCUACAUCACAUGGGUCAGGAUGCCAGAGAUGACAGACACACAAAAUAUGCUGGAAAAGACAUGCACCCUAAGCAGGAGUCUUGGAUGGAGGUGGCUAGACUACACUUACCAAGUCACGGUGACUGCUGUCACUCUCAUUCUGAUGUGUCUGAGUCUACAAAAUCCAAACUACCUCCAUGCCACAUUCCUACAAGCUCCCAGUAUUCUUCCACUAGUAAAGCAUAGGAGGAGGUUCAAUAAAGGUGACCUUAUAACCAUUUGCACCAUCAUUUGGCACCCAGGGAUCAAUUUCCUCAACUCAGUUCCUGCUUGAAAAGAAGGGGCAGGACACCUGUAGCAGGAGGUAUAUAAAUAGAAUUUAAAACCCAGAAUCUGGUUGCUUAAUACUGUGUGAGAUUCCUAUCACUGACAACCACACUGUGGCAUACUUAUAAACUGAGCAUCUAAUUGAAACCCGUAUGAAAAUACAUCUGAUUCAUUUUCCAUGGGUGGUCGCCAGAAGCAAUAUAGAGCGAUGGGAAAUCAUUAAAGAGGUAGCCUCCGCAGCCCUGGAAAAGGUGCCUGCUGAUUUGGGGAGGGCACCUUAAAGAAGUGAUGCUCUUUCAUUUAAAGAGAGAACCCUCUUUGGCCACAGAAAGCAAGUUAUUCCCCAAUCCAACCUACACAUCACCUGGGUCACAGUAUAAAUUUGGAAGGUCGGAUGCCAGGAGUGAAUUUUACUGAUCACGUCCCCUACCCAAACAGCAUGAUCUCCCAGGACUGCUUUGUCAGAACACAGUAGAUCACAGCUUGUGGUAGGUAAGGCUGCAGCCCAGGCUAAACAAUUUCAUUAGGCACCUGCUGACUUAGCCCAGAUUGUUCCCUUCCGGUCGUGGAUCCUAUGUGGAAUUGAAUCAUCCUCCAUCAUAAUUACCAGGAGCAUGGGAAGCAGCUGUUACCUCCUUCCCACUGCUAGUACCGGACAGCAGACAGCCUGAGGGGCUGUCAUCUGACAAUGACACGCUCCACUGCAGUGUGCCGGCCUGCGUAUUCCACUGCCAGAGCCAGGAGCUCUUACCUGCCCACUUGCUGAUGAAUACGGUGUGGAGACUUCUCUCCGCGCCCACAGAGCAUAGUGAAGAUGACACAUUUUAUCGCUAAACACAAAGGAGUUACCUACACUAAGUUUCACUGAAUCAUGAACUAUGGAAUAGUACCAACAAUAUUUGUCAUCAGCUAUUUAUCCCCACUCUGUGCCAGGCACCGAGCUAAACAUUCUCUAUACCUGAUUUCAUUUGAUCCACCAAAAAUGUUUCCGGGAUUCAAGCAUUAUACAGUCCUCCAUCAGAGUAGAAGUGGAAGGAAAACAGACCCUUUUCUUUGCACAGAACCUCUGAAAACAAUGAGGGGGAGGACACGGAACCACUGGCAGAAGUUGCAGACUCAGGGAGGAUAAUUCCAGGCACUCCAGGAAUAUCUAUGAUCAGCACCAUGUGGUUGGCUCCAGGCUAGAUGCUGGGGACGCUAUCAAAGACAGUGACAUGGACUUCAUACUAGGGGAGUAUAAAGAGGGUGAUUUUUCACAAGUGUUUUAAAAAAGAAGAGGGCUAUUAUUUGGUAAAGAGGAGUAAGGAGGAAGAAGAGACGAGUUAGGCACUGCAGCAUCCCCAGGUGAAGAAUUUAGUGAAGAAAUGAAACUUACCCUGAGGGACUGGAGAGAGAGAGUAGAUAAGGAAAGAAAGGCAGGAGAACUGAGACUUUAUAAAGCUGUGCUUCCAGAGACCCAGAUUAGAAUGGAACCAAGAACCCCUAUCUCUUCCAAGUUCUGUGCCCCCAGGAUUUCUGCAGGAUAAUAGACACCAGUUACUAUGGAUGGGUCCUAAUGUUUGGGAAGGCAGCUGACAGCUUGAGAAUCAUAAACAACAUGUACCCUUUAAUGAAAAUAAGCACGUAGAGACAUGUGUAUAUACACACACAAUUUUACAUAAAUUCUCUGUAAGCUGACCAUGUUCUAAGAUCUCUAGGAGUAGAAAAUUGAGCUGGGACAAACGUGUGCUCAAAUCAGGUGAGAAGAACCCAGGUCUAGGAAGGUGUGAGAUGCAUGAGGUCAGCCAUGGUCCCAGGAUCUUAGUGUUGGUGGACAUUCAUUACAUCCAGGAGGUAAUUCAGAGAGUCUUAUCAGCCAGCACCCUUCAGGAAUAAAGGAGCGGUCCACAGAUGACCUGCUGAUCCAAGGGAAGAGGGAAGCCCUGGAGCAGCCUGGAAGAGGGGCCGCAUAAGGAGCUGUCAGAAAACAGGUCUUAGUUAAGCAAGCCCCCGUGCCUUCUGCCGUGAUGUGAGUCACUGAGGAGCACUGUGGAGGUGUUGUUAUUUACAAACAUCUGGGGAAAAGACUCAAUGGGAAAUCUUUUACUGUACUCUUGGUGUAUCAUGGAGGAAGGAAUGUAGGAAGACCUGAAGGAACCGGGGUCUUAGUGUCUUGGGGGCUGCGUCAGCUAUUGAUGCCCUAAAAGGAACCCAUCCAUGAGUUCCUACUAGGGGGUGCUGGCCAAGAACAAAUAAUGCAAACAAACCAAUUUAGUCCUUCUGACCAUCUGAGUGAGAUUAUUACCACAACCUUCCUGAUGAGAAAUCAGCCUGCCUAGUGCUCUACAGCUAGAAAAUGACACACCCAGAAAAUUCAGGCCCCCAUGUCUCCAGAACCUGUGUUCAUAAUCACUGCCCUCUGUUGUCUCCCAGGCAAAGGAUUCCAGGCAUAUAAAAACUUACACGGAAAAGGUUGGACAAGAAUCUUACUCAGAAAAUACCUGCUCGCUUUGGUCUUAGCCUCUCCAUGGAAUAGACCUGUUGGGGGAAUUUUCCAUGCUCUGCAUCCCCUCAUCUGCAUUGCCACCACGUUGCCCUCUGAUGCUACAAAUCACGCUAGAAUGAGACCUUACCCUGGACACCUUUCUUUGUCCCUGCUGAGUGUUCUUUCUUUUCCUUUACAAGGAAUGCUUAUCAUGAAUGCAGAAAUUCAAUUACCACUUGGAUUUAUUUAUUCAUUUGCGUGAUGCAUGGCACACACCAUCCAGCACUACUCUUGGAAUGAAAUCACCCUGUCUGACAGAGGGAGACAGUUUACAUGUUCAGCCUAGACAUAAACUAAGCUGACUCAGGCCCAACAAGCUCCUAUUAUUACCUCCAGCCCACGGCGCUAAUCACAUGGACUGUUGUUUAUGCGUAUGUGGAGAUCAAUGGUGACAACAGAACUGUGGCUGCGCAGAGGAGGCUGAGGGUGGGAAGUCCUUCCAGAGGCUGCCUUUCGUAUUUGACAAGGGAAACAGAAAGGGCCUUGCUGGGCACUUCACUGGGAGGAGCCCAGGGAAGGUGAGCCUCUGCCCAACAAGGCUUUGGGGAAGUAGAUUGUUUUAUUUCCAAAGAACCUAUUGACACUGUUACCAUAUCACGAGUUAGGCCAAAAGUAAGAGAAGAAUUCUGAUUUUGUCUAAGUUGCCCUCUCACUUACUUGGGGCCUUCCUUGUAUACUGGACUCACUUUUCAGUUCUCACUGGAGCAUGUGGAACAUUCCUGUCUGAAUUCCUGGCACAAACAGACUCCAGAAUCCAUGGAAUCAUCAAGAGAGUGCAAUUAAUUAGGAUCAGACUCGGGAGUCUGGGGCAGGCGCAGGUGGAGCCCAAGGUCAUUUAUGCAGAAGUAGUUCUGUGAGAAGGGAAAACAAAAUCCAUAAAUCAUAGAGUCAGACAUACCCAGGUUCAAAUAUCUGCUCUGCCACUUACUUGCUGUGAGGCUUUGAGGAAGUCGCUUAAUAUUUUCUCUUAGAAACUGGUGAUAAAAUCUACUAUGGAUGAAUUUGAGAGGGGUGUGGGCAGGCUCUCAGCUAUGCAUUGUGAUGAGAAGGAUUCCACCAGGAGCCAUCCAGAGCCAGCACAAAAAGGAGAUGCACCAGAAAUGUCAA
rnacentral:lncRNA from 1 species